CGCAAGCGUUGUCCGGAAUUAUUGGGCGUAAAGAGCUCGUAGGCGGUCUGUCGCGUCUGCUGUGAAAACCUCAGGCUCAACCUGGGGCUUGCAGUGGGUACGGGCAGACUAGAGUGCGGUAGGGGUGACUGGAAUUCCUGGUGUAGCGGUGGAAUGCGCAGAUAUCAGGAGGAACACCGAUGGCGAAGGCAGGUCACUGGGCCGCAACUGACGCUGAGGAGCGAAAGCAUGGGGAGCGAACAGGAUUAGAUACCCUGGUAGUCCAUGCCGUAAACGUUGGGCACUAGGUGUGGGGCUCAUUCCACGAGCUCUGUGCCGCAGCAAACGCAUUAAGUGCCCCGCCUGGGGAGUACGGCCGCAAGGCUAAAACUCAAAGAAAUUGACGGGGGCCCGCACAAGCGGCGGAGCAUGCGGAUUAAUUCGAUGCAACGCGAAGAACCUUACCAAGGCUUGACAUACACCGGAAAAGUGCAGAGAUGUGCUCCCCGUAAGGUCGGUGUACAGGUGGUGCAUGGUUGUCGUCAGCUCGUGUCGUGAGAUGUUGGGUUAAGUCCCGCAACGAGCGCAACCCUCGUCCCAUGUUGCCAGCGGGUUAUGCCGGGGACUCAUGGGAGACUGCCGGGGUCAACUCGGAGGAAGGUGGGGAUGACGUCAAAUCAUCAUGCCCCUUAUGUCUUGGGCUUCACGCAUGCUACAAUGGCCGGUACAAAGGGCUGCGAUACCGCGAGGUGGAGCGAAUCCCAAAAAGCCGGUCUCAGUUCGGAUUGGGGUCUGCAACUCGACCCCAUGAAGUCGGAGUCGCUAGUAAUCGCAGAUCAGCAACGCUGCGGUGAAUACGUUCCCGGGCCUUGUACACACCGCCCGUCAAGUCACGAAAGUCGGUAACACCCGAAGCCGGUGGCCCAACCCUUGUGGGGGGAGCCGUCGAAGGUGGGACUGGCGAUUGGGACUAAGUCGUAACAAGGUAGCCGUACCGGAAGGUGCGGCUGGAUCACCUCCUUUCUAAGGA
rnacentral:rRNA from 1 species